rnacentral:lncRNA from 1 species
GGUUUAGGGGUGGGGAUCUGGAUCGUUCACAAGAUAAUAGCACAUUCUCAAAUUGAACAGAGUGGGGUAACCCCCAAAGACCUCCUUUUAAUUUCAUUUGAUUUGUUUUAUCGUCCCAUUCAAGAAUAUAUAUGGUUUAGGGAUGGGGAUCUGGACCGUUUACAAGAUAAUAGCAUAUUCUCAAAUUGAAAGGGGUGGGGAUUACCUCCCAUGGACUCACCCUCCCUUCUUUCUUCCCCCCGAAAUACCUUUUAAUAAGCCCCAAUGCACAGAUAGUUCACAGUAUUUUCCCUUGAUUUACACUAAAGAAUAUACACUAUACAGGUGUAAUUUUUUUUUUAAAAGAUAAUACAACUGAAGACCACCAUGACCACAGUGGUGGAUCCAGAAUUUUUCAUAAGUGGGGCCCACCGACUGCCUAAGAGGGGCCUGCUCCUGCCAUGACUCAGUGAUUCCAUAUAUAAUCAACCAAUUCUUUUCCCAAACAGGGGGCCCUGAACUCCUGAUUCCCCCUUUUUUUUCCU